rnacentral:lncRNA from 1 species
AUGAAGUUUUAUUAAAAGAAAAAGGGGUGAAAAGAACAAAGUUUUGUCCAUCUUUGUUCAUCAUAGCUGAAAGUUAGAGAAGAGAAAGGAGAGGAGAAAGCUCUUGAGUAUUCGGUCAUUAGGAGGAGGAAAAUUGAAGGUAAGUUCUUGGUACCUUGCUUCUAUUUUGAGGUUCAUGAGUUCUUCUUGAUUCUACCUUAACUCUUGAAGUAUAUUUUGAUUUUUAGUUGUGUUGUGAGCAUUUAGUCAUGAAUUAAAAUGAAGGAAAUGGUUGUUGUUUCAUGUUCUUUUGAUGAAAAAUGGAAGAUAGGUGAAGUUGAGCCAAACAAAUGAGCAUGCAUGUGCCUUAGAUGUUAAAGGGAAAAAUCAGCUAACAUGUUGUGCUUUAAAAUGAUGAAAUGGAGAUUAUACUUAAGUAAAAUCAUAGAUAUGUGAUGAUUGAUUGGUGAUAUACAUGUUUAAAUAACAUGCAUGCAAGGUAUGUGUGAAAGAGUGAUUUGGUAAUAAAUCUGCUUGGGGCAGCAGCAGUAACGUGACUUUGGAAAAUCACCAUAAAUUGUGGGAGAUGAAUUAGAAGCUGAAUAAAUCAUGUAAUUAAAUUCUAUUGAGUCUAGUUUCAAAUGAAAUAAACGAGAACAUAUUUUGAAUUCUGUACAAUGAGAAAUUUGAUUCGUAAUGAAGAGUGGUCAGAUUAGUCAAAUAGUGAAACAUCCGAAACUUUGAGAAAAAUCUGGUAUUGAUUGGCAAAACAAAAAAUUCUGAAAAUUUUAUGGAUAUAAGAUAUAUGAGUCUAUUUUCAGGGAAAAUUAACGGCACUUGAUUUGGAGUUUCGUAGCUCCAGUUAUAAAUGAUUUAGUGACUGUUGCUCAGGAAGACAGCUUGCAGUGAAAUUAUGAUUAUGUGGUAAACAUUGACAAAAAUUUGUUAAUGAGUUGCUUAUUGAUUUCUUAUAAGCUUACUAUGAUUUGUAGGUGUGGUUGGCUGAAUAUUGUAAGGGGUUAAUACGUAGUUUGUAUUCGAAUAGUUAGAUUAACGUGUUAGUAAUCCAAUUGUAGGCGGUUCGUGUGUGGAUCUCGUCAGUAUAUCGUCGCAAACAGGUGUGUAACUAACACCCUCUUUCUUAGUCUAGAUCGGCAAAAGUCGAAAAGCCGAAAUGCCGAAAACCGGUAUUUUGUAGAUUUGCGAGUGUGCGAAUGCUCGCGAGGUAAAUCGAUUAAUGUUUUAGGUAAGUUGCAAUGUUUUGACUACAAAGUGCAUGAUUUCUGUGCCCUCGAUAUUUUUGGGCUUAAUGGGCCAAAAUUGGAAUGAUGGGCCAACGGGCCCAAUUCGGUAAGAACCCUCGGUACGUGAUUCUGUUAGUACGUGAAAAGUAGGAAUAUGCAUGAAAAACUCUAAAAUAGAUAAAUUACUGAAAUACCUUUAAAAGUGGAAAAUUUACAGUUUUACCCCUAGUAGAUAAAUUACCGAAAUACCCCUAGGGUUAAAUUGACCUAAAUGCAUGUUUGACUGUUGUUAUUUACUGCAUGCCAUGUUGUUAUUAUCUAAUGCAUGGGACUGGGAUAUUGAUGGAGGAAGUACUGAAAGUGGCUUGUCCACGUACUGGAGGCUUUGCCCUAAUUUACUGUUAACUGAGCAGCAAGGCUGCAACUGUGGAGUGUUGGGCUGGGUGGGUUGGGCUAUUCCCCACAUGGAGUGUAUGGCUGGUACGGGUGGAGUGUAGUGGUUGGUGGGUUGAGUAGUCUCCCCAAAUGGGCUUGCAUAUGUUUACUGAUGUUGCAUGUAUUUUGAAAUGGGCCUAUGGGCCAUACUGUUAUCUAAAUAAGGGGCUAAGGCCCAGUUUAUUGUAACCUGAAAAGGGCUCUGCCCCAGUACCACUGUUACCUGAAUGGGCUUAGGCCCAAUAGGCUUGAGCUGACUUGGGCUUUGAAUGGGUUUUCCUUACACACUGAGUUUCCCCAAACUCACCCCUUUUAUUUUCAUCCACGCAGGAAAUCCCCAACCAUAGUGGGCUUGGAGCUGUGAGGAAAUUCGGAUUGGCCACCCGUUCUGAAAGUUUGGUUUUCUUCUGGUGAACUGGACAUCCUUUUAUUUACGUUUGAAGUUUUGGGUUUUUAAAUGUAAUAAGGCCGCUUAAUUAUUUUUAAUGGUUUUAAUAUGUAUUACUAAGAUAGGUAUUACUUAUUUUAACUGUUGAAAUUGGAUAGCUUUAGGGCGCGUUUUCAAAAACAACAGUUGAUUUCAAAAUAACACGACAACAAGCAAAGCUUCCGCAAUGAAAGUAUUUUCCAAAAUUAAUCACUUUUCCUAAAAAUGACUUAAUCAAAUCAGUUUCCUAGAAAUAUCCAUGAUGUUAAGGUGUGGCAAUGGCGGUAUGCAUGUCUAGGAUUGGAUCCGAAGGGAGCUUGGUAUUUAAGCAGUCCGAUGGACUCACCACCUCUUUUCCGGUUUCCUACCUAGUGCACAGCUUCCAUUCACUUUAACCUAUAAUGAAAUUAUCUUUUAAAACACUAAGUAGGUUUUUUUCUGGAUCAACAAUAUAAAAUGUUUUGAACGCUUCGAUGUGGCAUGUCGGAUCCGGCCAUAACGUCUGGGCCGGGUUUGGGGUGCUACAAAAUUUCUAGAAAAUGAAUGAAAAAAAUAAAAUUACAUAGUUUUUUGCCACAAGGCAUUUCUUGGGUCUUCAAUUGCCAUCGCUCCAUCUUCUCCUUGUCAUGUACUCCUUUUGAUUAAUUACAUUUAAAUCCAUGUUCGUUUCUAGCUCACAAGAAUUCUAUGAAUUUUAAAAAAUAGUCCUAUGUCUAUUUCCUAAGAAUCACAACCUUGACAAUAAAAAAUAAUUAUAUAACAAAUAUAUAAUAUCGCACCCAUUCCCAUAUAUAACUCAAAACAUGCAUAAGAUCUAAAGAACUUCACUUUCUAUGUAAUCAAGUCAUUCAAGAAGAAGAGAAAUGUAACAGCCCGAUUUAGACCCUAAUCGAAACGGUAGUUUCGAGACCACGAAUCCGAGUUAGAAAAAUAUUUUAAUAUUAUUUUCCAUGCUUAUAAUAUGUGAAUUGAUAUCUGUGAAAGUUUCGUGUGGAAAUUUUAUUAUUUGUGUGCUUAAUUUGAAAAAAAUGACUUAAUCGCGUAAAAUGUAAAAGUGGCUAGCCAUUUGUUAAAAGUGCCUAUUUGCUUUUAUUAAAUAAAUUUAAGAUCCUUAUGAUGAAAUUGAACCAUUAUAAAGUUAGUGGAAUUAAUGGUUUGGCAAAGUUCUUAAAUGGAUUAUUUUUAAAGGUUAGUUUUGUAAAUUAGUAAAAUAAGUUAAUAAAAUAAAUCAAAUGCAUGAAAAUAAAGCCAUUAUCACCUUUGUUUUUGCCGAAAAUCAAAAGAAAGGAAAAGAUGAAAGCUUGUUGAACAUUCGGCUAUGGUUAGCUUGAGUUGGUAAGUGAAUUUUGUUCGGUUUUUGAUAAUUUCUAUGUUUUUGUGAUCGUUGCUUCGAAUACUAGUAAACCCAUGCUUCAAUUUUCGAAUUUGAUGAUGAAUUGGAGAAUUGCUAUUAAUGAUAGCUUGAUGUUUUUGUUGUUUGAUGAUGAAAAAUGAAUAUUUGUUGAUAGAUUAUUAUGUUUAAUUAAGUGGUUUUUGAUAAAAAUCCAAAUUUGGGAUUAAAUUGUGGAUUUUGUAAAUUAAGCGGUCAAAAUGUGAAAUAAAUGAAAGAAAUGGGCUGUUAUGAACCUUAGAAGCCUUAGAAAAAUUCAACUAUACUAGAGUUUAGUGAAAGUAUGUGUAUUUUGUGUUUUGUGAAAUAGGGACUAAAUUGCGAAAAAUGUGAAAUGUUAGGGGCAAAAUUGUAAUUAGCCUAUUUAUGUGUUUUUGGAUGAAUUUGAUUGAAUAUAUGAUUAAAUAAGUUGAAUUUGUAUUGAAUUAGAUCAAGAAAUGUAGAAAUCGGAUUUGGACCGGGGAAAAACCAAAGUUGUCGACUAGUUGUCUCAUCCUAAUUACCGUUGUCUGAGGUAAGUUUACAAGCAAAUAAACAUACUUAAUUUUAAUUAAUACAAAGUAUAUAUGCUGAAAUGAAAUAUAUGAAUUAAUAUAUGCUAAUGCUGAAUGUGUAUAAGCAUGGUAACUAUGUUCAUGCAUUCGUUUCGACUGAGCUAUAACAUUUGAAAGUCCGUAUAAACUAUAUGGAAUAUUUGGAAUUUUUGAUAUAUGAAUUGUUUACGAGACAACUUUAUAAUAGUGAUAUUCGGGCUUUGAGACUAGCAAGCCUUGUGCUGGUGAAUUAAAUCGGGCUUAUGCCUAGCAGGCUUAUUGUCAGUGUAUAAAAUCAGACUUUGAGUUUAGCAGGCCUUGUGCCGGUGUGAGAUUCAGGCUUAGGCCUAGCAGGCUUUAUGCCAGUGAAUUAUUAUAAGUUUAUGCCUAAAAGACUUUAUGCUGAUGUGGUAAUUGAAUACGUUAAACGAGCUAAAUGAUUAGGUAUGAGUUAGCUUUUUGUUUACUUGAAAAUAAGGUAAGCUGAUUAUUUGAUAUGUGAUACAAACAUAUGUAUGAUGUUAGUCUGAAAUUUGUGAGUAAUUGUGAAAUAUAUUCAGCCAAAGUUAAGCAUAAUUAUGUGGUAUAAAGGUUUGAGACAUGAUUAUAUGAAAACAAGUGUUUAAAGAUUCGACUUUAUGCAUUAAUAAUAUGAUUUUCAUAGUGUAUGACAUUUUGGUAUAGAUACAUGUAUAUUCGGCUACACGAUAAGUGUAAUUAUGAGAUAUUAAAGUUUGAUUCAAGAAUAUAUGUUUGUGGGUGUGUAUAUUCGAUUAUAUAAUGGUAUUAUGGUUUUGAAAUUGAAUGUUACAUUGAUAAUAGUUAUAGUACAUUCGUUCAAAGGUUACGUAUAGUGAUAUCAUAUUGUGGCCUAUGUGCAAAUUUAUAUAAAUGAUUAUAUAUUGCCUAAAUGAUAUAAAGAAAGAAUAAUGAUAAGUGAUUCAUGAAUAUAUGUAUAUGAUUUUAUAUAUUUAUUCAGUUAAUUAUUGAUAAUGUGGCUUUGAAAUUUGAAUGAUAUAUAUAUUAAUAUUAGUUGUAUGGAUAUUUGGUAAAAGUGAAAGUAUAUGUAUUAUAUGAAAUUAUAAGUUUGAAGUUAAAUGUGAUUAUGAUAGUAUAAAUUGGUUUGGUAAUUAAAUCGAUAUUGACAAUGAGUUAUUUAUUUGCUUAUAGCUUACUAAGCUCUCAAAGCUUAUUCUGUGUGUUUUUCCUAUGUUUAUAGAUUUUCAGAGAUCUGCUCGAGUUGUAAGUCAGUGGAGAUGACAUCACACUAUACGGUUAUCAUUUCAGUAAAUAAUAUUUUAAGGCUCGGUUAUGUGGCAUGUAUAGGCUAGUCUUGAAGUUAAUUGUUUUGAAUGAGUAUGUAUUAAAGCCAUGCGAAAGUGGCUUAACUACCUUGCUUGAAAUCAG